AAUUGUAUUAAUCUGACUAAGACAGUUACCCAACAAAACAAACACAUCAAAAAUAGACAUCUAUAUGUCAUUGUUUGGUAAUCAACAAUGGAAAGUCAUCCUUGCCUUACUAAUUCUACUGCAUUUGUACUGAACUUCUAAAUGAUUAAUAAUUUGUUUUUCAUUUUCCCCGCAGUCAAUUCCAGAAGUAACUGACAUGAGUCAGUCUUCAUCUACAGCUGAUGGUGAUUUAAAUGAUACAUCAACAAACUUUGUACAGAAUAAUGUCAUGUGUACACUCUCAGAUCCGAUGCUGCCAUCUGGAGGAGGUGAUCUGAUUGGAUCUUCAUCUGAUGCUGAGAUUGACAAGACACAUCACCAUGAUUCAGAUUUGGAACAUUCCAAUACUGCCUAGACAUUGUAGAAAUACAUGUAUUAAACCUAGCAUUGCCUAGCACCUGUCUGAUCAAAAUUUCUAUAUAAAAAAAGAAACCUCAAAAGCAUAAUAUACAUCUUGUUGUUUUGGUGCAUAUUUUGUGAAUUGGACAAUAAAGAUUAUGAUGAUCAUAAAUAAAGAUUUCUGGAGCUAUAUGUCGAAGUAUUUUCUGCUUUCAUAAAAAUGGCAUAAUAUUAACAAUACUUCAAAAAGUACAAUGUAUGAAAACAUGUUUUGGUGUUUAAGAAUAAUAAUGAUCUAACAGAAUUCUGUACUUUUAUAUUACAAAUUUCUGUUAUUUGUCAAUUUACAGUGUUUAUAUUGAUAUAUUUCCUAAGCAUAUGUGCUCAAAUCAUGCCUUGUAAGUUUAAAAGUGCUAAGUUUCAAAUAAGAUAUGUAAAAUGUCUGUAUCUGCAUUUCAGAGUGGGAUUAAUUCCAUGAUUUAGGAUCAGCUUUAUAUAUUAUUCACUUUAAAUUUAUUUAUUUUGAAUGUUUCUUUCCUUAUUUAUUUGUUUAUAGAAAUGACACUUGAUGAAAUAUACUACCUAAUAAUAUUUACUGUGUUGACAGUACAUCUCUUUGUAUUUACUGUGCAAUUUACAUUUAUGUUGUGUUUUUGUUUUCCAAUUUCUUCACGUUUAUUUGCAUAGUUGAUUUGUUUAAUGUUAAAUUCAAUUAAAAGUUGAGAACUUUACCAUAGUUAAUAUGAUACAUGUAUUGAUUGUGAUAGAAAAGCAUUUAUUUGUAAUUUUUAUGUUUGUCAAUUUGUUGAAAUAAAAAUUAUUUUGUGACUUUAAA